rnacentral:rRNA from 1 species
CCGCACGGGUGAGUAACACGUAUCCAACCUGCCGUCUACUCUUGGCCAGCCUUCUGAAAGGAAGAUUAAUCCAGGAUGGCAUCAUGAGUUCACAUGUCCGCAUGAUUAAAGGUAUUUUCCGGUAGACGAUGGGGAUGCGUCCCAUUAGAUAGUAGGCGGGGUAACGGCCCACCUAGUCAACGAUGGAUAGGGGUUCUGAGAGGAAGGUCCCCCACAUUGGAACUGAGACACGGUCCAA